GGGAGUCUCACCAUCUUGCCCAGGCUCAUUUCAAACUCCUGGGCACAAGCAAUCCUUCAUCUUGGCUUCCUGAAUUGCUGGGAUUAAAGAUGCAAAAAUUCUAUAAAGAGAAAAUUCCACCUCCUCUACUGUUAGUGGUGAAGCUCACAUAAGAAAGGUCAAAAGAACUCAAGAGCCAAUUUGAGGACAUUCUGAUUAGCUAAAGUAUGACAAUCUGAGCAUCAGUAAGAUCAUCAACUACAAACCAUUUUGAGAAAUCGUAUUGCUAGUGAUAAUCUUGGUAUUGCUAUUCUGAGAUAGUUGAGUUUGCAUUGUGAAAUAAAGCAAAUAUGUAUUUAUUUGAUAAUCUGAUUCUGUCAUUCUUGGUGUAAAUAAGAAAGGGGAUUCGUGGCAUGGAAAAAAUGAAAUAAAGUUAUAAGUUGAACAUGUUAAAUAAAAUUAUAACACCUGAUAUGGCAUGAUUUCAAAAUGUCCACAAAACAUUCAUAUUAGCAUACAUUUAUGUUCCUGAAUUAAUAUCAGCAUGCACUCAUGACUCAGUCUGUGCACUAAAAUUCCUAAAAACAAUCACUAAUCCAAGCGAAAUUAGCAACCCUAAUG